rnacentral:rRNA from 1 species
GCUUAUUUUGCGCAGCUUAGGCGGGAGGCUAUGAACCUUUUCUUCUGGGAAGAGGGGAGCCAUCAGUGAGAUACCACUCUUGGUAAGCUAGAGCGCUCAGUCUUCACCGUCAUCCGGUAAGACGACAGUUUCAGGCGGGCAGUUUGACUGGGGCAGUCACCUCCCAAAAGGUAACGGAGGUGUGCAAAGGUUCCCUCAGGCUGGACGGAAAUCAGCCACAGAGUGUAAAAGCAUAAGGGAGCUUGACUGCGAGACUGACAUGUCAAGCAGAGACGAAAGUCGGCCUUAGUGAUCCGACGGUGCUGUGUGGAAAGGCCGUCGCUCAACGGAUAAAAGUUACUCUAGGGAUAACA